UUGGGAUUCGCUAAACCUAAAGGCGCAAUGAAAGUAAAGGUCCUCCUAGCGGGGACCGAGGGAGGACGGGCGGAUUUCACCCUUAAAAGUGGCCGCUCCGCACUCCCGGGGCGUCUCGUUCUCAUCGCGAGAAGAGGCGCACCGAGAGCGUACACGCUGGGACCCGAAAGAUGGUGAACUAUGCCUGGUCAGGACGAAGUCAGGGGAAACCCUGAUGGAGGUCCGUAGCGAUUCUGACGUGCAAAUCGAUCGUCGGAACUGGGUAUAGGGGCGAAAGACUAAUCGAACCAUCUAGUAGCUGGUUCCCUCCGAAGUUUCCCUCAGGAUAGCUGGCGCUCGUCGCGCACGAGUCUCAUCCGGUAAAGCGAAUGAUUAGAGGCAUUGGGGUCGAAACGACCUCAACCUAUUCUCAAACUUUAAAUGGGUGAGAUCUCCGGCUUGCU
rnacentral:rRNA from 1 species